AUGUCCAUUUCAUUAUACAGAAGCUUUCAUAUUUAUAUUUGUUUCCAAUUCAACCUAUUAAUACAUGUUUUUUGGUUAUUAUUUUCAUACAGAAGAAUUCUGCUGGACAGAAAUAUAUGGAUAUGGCUAAGAAAGGUAGAUUCCAUCAACUCUUCAGCUUAAUUCUUCUUUACUUUACCAUCAGCAUAUUAUUCUAGGAGUUUUAGAUCAAGUUUACUCUUCCUGCUCCUGCCAGACAUGAGCAGAUGACCUGUAACCUGGACCUGGUUCAUGAGACUACUACCCUUCUUAGGUUAGACAUGUGAUCAAACCCAGACCAAUAAAAGCCCACCAGUGUUACAUUAGAUUUAUUGGAAUAUUCUUUCUUUAUCUAGUAUUGUG
rnacentral:lncRNA from 1 species